GCCCAGGUGGCGGAAUUGGCAGACGCGCAGGCUUCAGGAGCCUGUGAGCCUAGCUCGUGUGGGUUCAAAUCCCUCCCUGGGUACCA
rnacentral:tRNA from 1 species